AUAAAAAAAAAAAAAAAUGGAAAUUUUAAAAAAGAUUUAUUUUGCAUUUUUGAUUUUUGAUUUUUCUUUACCUCUUUUUUUUGAAGCCCUGUUUUUUUUUUCUUUCCUUUGUUUGGUUGAACUUUUCUGAAU
rnacentral:ribozyme from 17 species